rnacentral:rRNA from 1 species
UACGUAGGGGGCUAGCGUUGUCCGGAAUCAUUGGGCGUAAAGAGCGUGUAGGCGGCCCGGUAAGUCCGCUGUAAAAGUCAAAGGCUCAACCUUUGAAUGUCAGUGGAUACUGCCGGGCUAGAGUCCGGAAGAGGCGAGUGGAAUUCCUGGUGUAGCGGUGAAAUGCGCAGAUAUCAGGAGGAACACCGGUGGCGAAGGCGGUUCUCUGGGCAUUACCUGACGCUGAGGAGCGAAAGUGUGGGGAGCGAACAGG